rnacentral:rRNA from 1 species
CCCUUAGAUGUCCUGGGCCGCACGCGCGCUACACUGAGUGUCUGAGAUACGAGUCUGCCUGGUCCGGCAAGGUCUAGGUAAUCGCUAAAAGACACAUCAUGCUUGGGAUAGAUUAUUGCAAAUAUUAAUCUUGAACGAGGAAUUCCUAGUAAGCGCAAGUCAACAGCUUGCGUUGAUUACGUCCAUGCCCUUUGUACACACCGCCCGUCGCUACUACUGAUUGGAUGUUUAAGCGAGGUUCUCGAACUGCUAGCGACUUAGCUUCGGUGAGGUCGCAGUGUGGGAAGUGAACCUAGCUUUGGUGUCUAGAGGAAGUAAAAGUCGUAACA